AUUGUUUGGAAUGCUGGGUUGAGUCCCGGCUGGACCGCGCCCCUCUCGGAAGUGUAGCCAGGAGUAGGGGUGUAGGAUGUGCAGCUGUGACCCGUCCCUGUGGACUGAAUUCUGCUUUUCCAGAAUCCUGCCCUUUCCAAAAGGAAGACGGUAUGAUUAAGUUCCAGGAAAGGGUGACAUUCAAGGACAUAGCUGUUAUCUUCACCAAGGAAGAGCUGGCAGUAUUGGAUAAAGCCCAGAUAAACCUGUACCAAGACGUGAUGCUGGAAAACUUCAGGAACUUCAUCUCAGUGGGGUCUUGCUCUGUCACCCAGGUGGCUGGAGUACAGUGGCCUGAUCAUGGCUCGCUGCUGAAGCCUUGAACUGCUGGGCUCAAGUGAUCCUCCUGCCUCAGCCUCCUGAGUAGUUGGGACUACAGGCAUAUACCACCACUUUCAGCUAAUGUUUUCUUUUAAAAAUUUACUUGUAGAGAUGGGGUCUUGCUUUGUUGCCCAGGUUAGUCUUAUUCUGGUUUCAAGCAAUCCUCCUACCUCAGCUUCCCAAAGUGCAGGGAUUACAAGUGUGGGCCACUGCACUCAGCCCACAAUGUCUUUUAUUUUUUCUUCAAAAACAAUGUCCUUUUCUGUUUUAAUUGACUUAUAAGUUUCUUCAUUUGGAUCAUGGUUUAUUCCUAGUUUUUCUUGCAUUAUAUUUUCCUGCCAGUUAUAGUUUGUAAACAGAACAGCCAUUCAAGUGCAAAUAAAACCAUCCCUGAAGUGUCAUUUUCUUACUGAGCAGGUGGAUAAGAGUGAAAUAUUUUAAAAAUUCUGUGUCAGUAGAAAUGAGGAAAUGAGUGUUCUUACAUAAGUUGGUGGGGAAAAAAAACAGGUACAAAGUUGCUGGAGAGGAUCUUGUCUAUAUGUAUCAGAUGUACAAUGUGCAUUGUCUUUGAGCCAAUGAUCCUGCUUCUCAGAAUGUAUUUUUAGGAUGUAAUUACAUGAGUGGAAAAAAAUGGUUUCAGAAAGAAAUAUGUUCUAAGAAUUUUGCAAUGAGAAGAUCGUAAAUGACCUGAAGCUUCAUGUAUAAGAGAUUAAGUAAAUUAGGGCAUCCCAUAUAAUGGAAUAACAUGGCUCCAUCAACAAUGAUCUAGACCUAUAAAAAUGUCCACAUAUUAUUGUCCAUGUCCACCACAUACUCCAGUCCUCCUACUUGCAAACAGUAGGUUAGAGAAAAAAUCUGGGAUACACAUUAUCCCAGGAAGCUUUUGGGGUUUAGAAUGGGUGCAACAUUCCCUCAUGACAGAAUCGGCCCUCAGCCUUAGUGGAGGUGUCCCAGGCAAUCCUCCAGUAUGGCCAGGAGCAGCCCUUGCAUAUCACAUUAAGCUUUUUAAAUAUAUGAUGCUAACAGGAUUGUCUCCCUACUUCAUAAAAUUGUUUGCUUUUCCUCUUGUAACAAAGUAGCAUGGAAAAAGCAGAAAUUAGUCUAGCUCCCAAUCAGUGGGAGCCAACUCAUUUACAAAUAUAGAUGCAGAGAUCCUAAAUAAAUAUGAGCAUGUCAAAUCCAAUGAUUUGAUAAAAGCGUAACAGACUCUGCUCAUAUAUAAUUUAUCCUAAAUAUGCUUAUCAGCUUCUGCCUCAUAACACACACAAGAACUGAGUAGCUCUAAAUACAAAUUUAUUUAGCUCAUGAUGUGUGAGCUGGCAAGUUCAGUUGGGCUUAGCUGGGCAGUUCUGGUGUGGGACAUGCUAGAUUAUCUUAACUGGGCUUUGUACAUGCAUCUGCAUUCAGCUGAUGGCUCAUCUGGGCCUGGCUGUUUUAUGAUGGUCAUAGAUGAGACAACGAAGUUCUCUCUGUCACCAUGGUCUCUCAUCGUCCAGAAGACCAAUCUAGGGUUGGUCCCAUAGUGCCAGGGUUUCAAGAGCAAAAGCUGUGAUCUCUUAAGGCCUUGUCAGAGAACAGGCUCAAUGAUACUUCCACCACAUUCUAAUGAUUAAAGCAAGUCACAACACUGGCCCAGAUUCAUGCGGUGGGAUUAAGACAAGAUAAAAAAUUUUGAGAUGUAAUCAUUGGAAGGAAAAAGAAGGUACUAUUUUUAUGUUAGAGAAUAAUGUUAUUUACUUAUAAAAUUCAAAUCCGCCUGUAAAAUUUGACCAAUUGAAGUCUGUUUUAAAAUUAUCACGUCAAAAAAUUGGUUUCAUACAAAAUUGGCACAUGAAAACUCAUAGCAUUACUAUGUACGAGUCUUUUAUAAAAUGUAGCCAAAGUGUUUCAUUCACAAUAACAAUUGUGUGCAAAGACCAGAAUUGUCCAAAGGUAAUUCUGGGAGUUCCCUUUGGGAUGCCUAGGUGGGGAGCUAUCUGGAGCCUCAGACUCCCACAUUCUUCAGUGGGAAAAGCUUUACAUGAGCUCAACUUCCCAGCGGCUUUCUCUUUCUGAUGGGAGGUGUUAGAACCUGGCUUUCUCAUGCAACUUCUGUGAAGCUCUGACAACUAAAGCCAGAUUGUCUGCUUUAGUCAAUCUGUUAGAUCAAUUAGUCAUUUGAUCUGACAACUAAAGCCAGAUUGUCUGCUUUAGUUAAGUAGUCCAGAUUACCUGCAUAGUCAAUUUGUUCCCUCACCAACAUGGAUGCCUUCACAAUUGCUCUUUAAGAAGGAUAAAAAGAUAGGGGUGAGGUGUGGUCUAUCUCCUGCUUCACCCAGGCCCUGGUGCUUCUUCAAGUAGCGUGAGAAAUUGUGGUCCUGUGCGUUCUCUUCCAGACCCUUAGCUUAUAUGUUUUCCCUAUAAAACUUAGUCCUAAUCCCAGCACUUUGGGAG
ensembl:lncRNA novel transcript